AUCCACAGAAAAAUUUCAUUUCCUAUAUUCAAUAAAUACCCAAAUCAUAUUACAAACUCAAAUAAACAAUUACCAUUACUAGAGAUGAAUAACAAAUUAACAUUCAAAUUUUUAAGAACAACGUAUAAAAGUAAAAACCCUAUAAAUUUACAAAGAAAUGUGAAGUUUUUGAAUCUACUAAACUCUGAAUCAAACCAUUCAAAAUUUGCUUGUAGAUCUAGAAGCUUGAGGAACAGAAGAAGAAGUAGCGCGAGAAAGUGAGGAUCUUUGUGUAGAAAAACUGAAGCAGAAGCGUCGUUCACUUCCUUGAGUUCUGAGGGUCUUGUUUACAGGAAGAAGCAACAACGUUGUUCCCUUCGUUUAUGGAAAGAAGACACAAAUAAUGGUGAACAAACAUCCCCUUGCAAAUAGAACUGAGAGAGAGAGCGAGAGGCAGAGUACGGGAAGAAGCUUGGAUAAGGAUGGUCUCUUGUGUCAUUUAGAGAGAGAGAGGAAGAGUAGAGUACGGGAAGAAGCUUGGGUAAGAAUGGGUCUCGUGUCGUUCAGAGAGAGAGAGAGAGAGGGAGAGAAUACGAGAGGAAGGGGUGGCUACACAAA
rnacentral:lncRNA from 1 species